rnacentral:rRNA from 1 species
CAGCAGCCGCGGUAAUACGAAGGGGGCUAGCGUUGUUCGGAAUUACUGGGCGUAAAGGGCGCGUAGGCGGCUCUGUGCGUCGGGCGUGAAAGGCCUGGGCUCAACCCAGGAAUGGCGCUCGAUACGGCGGAGCUCGAGUGUGGGAGAGGAUGGUGGAAUUCCCAGUGUAGAGGUGAAAUUCGUAGAUAUUGGGAAGAACACCGGUGGCGAAGGCGGCCAUCUGGACCACAACUGACGCUGAGGCGCGAAAGCGUGGGGAGCAAACAGGAUUAGAUACCCUGGUAGUCCACGCCGUAAACGAUGUGCGCUAGACGUUGGGGGACCUAGUCUCCCGGUGUCGCCGCUAACGCAUUAAGCGCACCGCCUGGGGAGUACGACCGCAAGGUUGAAACUCAAAGGAAUUGACGG